GACGAACGCUGGCGGCGUGCUUAACACAUGCAAGUCGAACGGAAAGGCCUCUUUCGGGGGGUACUCGAGUGGCGAACGGGUGAGUAACACGUGAGUAACCUGCCCUUGACUUUGGGAUAACUUCAGGAAACUGGGGCUAAUACCGGAUAGGAGCUCCUGCUGCAUGGUGGGGGUUGGAAAGUUUCGGCGGUUGGGGAUGGACUCGCGGCUUAUCAGCUUGUUGGUGGGGUAGUGGCUUACCAAGGCUUUGACGGGUAGCCGGCCUGAGAGGGUGACCGGCCACAUUGGGACUGAGAUACGGCCCAGACACCUACGGGAGGCAGCAGUGGGGAAUAUUGCACAAUGGGUGGAAGCCUGAUGCAGCAACGCCGUGUGCGGGAUGACGGCCUUCGGGUUGUAAACCGCUUUCGCUCAUGACGAAGCUUUGUGUGACGGUAGUGGGGAAAGAAGCACCGGCUAACUACGU
rnacentral:rRNA from 1 species